AGGGAUCAUUACAGAGUUCAUGCCCUCACGGGUAGAUCUCCCACCCUUGUGUAUUCAUACCUUUGUUGCUUUGGCAGGCUGCUGGGCUUCGGCCUGGCCACCGGCUCCCGGGCUGGUGCGCGCCUGCCAGGGGACCUCUAAACUCUGUUUGUCAGUGUCGUCUGAGUAUUAUACAAUCGUUAAAACUUUCAACAACGGAUCUCUUGGUUCUG
rnacentral:misc_RNA from 1 species